rnacentral:rRNA from 1 species
UACAUAGGGUGCAAGCGUUAAUCGGAAUUACUGGGCGUAAAGCGUGCGCAGGCGGCUUUGCAAGACAGAUGUGAAAUCCCCGGGCUCAACCUGGGAACUGCAUUUGUGACUGCAUCGCUGGAGUGCGGCAGAGGGGGAUGGAAUUGCGCGUGUAGCAGUGAAAUGCGUAGAUAUGCGGAGGAACACCGAUGGCGAAGGCAAUCCCCUGGGCCUGCACUGACGCUCAUGCACGAAAGCGUGGGGAGCAAACAGG